GCUAUCUGAAGCGUGGGCGAAUAAUUGAUACUGCCCACAAUGGAUUCAUUCAACAACAUUGGUCGGGAUUGUACAUUUAUUAAAUAAAACCAACCACAAAGAUGAUUAUUGAAACACCGAUAUGUCAAAGAUGCUGCUUUUGCCUGCCUCUUCGAAGAGGUAUCAUCGCGUUUGGAUACUUUAAUAUUCUAUGGUCGACUUUAAUGACAGGGUUCAUGAUUUAUACUGACCACACCAUUCUUCUCAUACACGGGACGACGCAAGACUGGGGCGAACCUGCAGCUUAUAUUGCCAGAAUUAUGGAUAUAGUGUUAAGCGUGGUGUUGGUUGUUGGCGGCCAUAAGAAUUUGACAGUGUGCCUCAAAGUUUUCUUCUACUACACAUCUUUAACAUUACUAGCAAUAUUCGUUAUCCAAAUAUAUGCCUUAAGUACAACAUUGUACUUCAAUUCUGUAAUGGAGACAGGGUUGUUUAUCAUCAGUACAAUUAUUCAUGUGUACAUACUACUGCAAAUUAACAGCUUAAUAAACAAAAUAAACAAGAGAACAUCUGAAACAGGAUAUGAGAAUCAGUUGGGUGAAUUAGGUGCGAAGCAUAUUGAAAAUAAAAAUUGUACCACUGAAACAACUGUACACAUUUAAUGAAGCAACGGCUAGAUUAUAAGUACAUAUAUAAUUACAACUCUACAGAAACUAAAAACUUAAAUCAAAUCGCAUGUUGCAACCCCCAAAGUCGAAAUAAAUAUUUGAAUUUGACACGCGUGAGCGUUGUCUAUUCUUUGUACUAAAUAAAGAAAAUUAAAAAUUAAUAUAGAAUUUCAUUACAUGUUAAAUUAAAAAAACUAAUUAUUAAAUUAAUCUAAAAAUGUAAUCUUAACCUAAUAAAAUAAGAAAUACUAAAGAUAUAUGGGAAGAAUAAAAGGAAACCAAUGAGAUUCAAAAUAUGCAAAACUAUUUUAUUUAGUGUAGUUUUAAUUAUGUUUUACAGAAUUUAUGGAAUUUCUUGGUUAUUAAAACCACACAGUAUCAUAGUUGUAUAUUUUAUAUUAAUAAAUAAAAAUAAAUAUAUUUUUUUUAUAAA